UCGCAGUAUUAUACCAUUUUUAUACACAGAACAUCAUGUUUGAAGAUAGACUAGCCCCAGAAGGUGAUACGGAAAGGAAAUUUGAAAAUAAUGAUGACCGAGUGAAAGGCGCUAGAUCUACAGGAAAGUCUGAUAAACAGGCCUCAGAAAUAGACCUCGAAUGGGUCAUUGACAAUGAAGUGGGACAAUUUGGACGGUUUCAAUUUAUUCAUGUGCUACUAUUAGUGUUCCCUGUUGUUGCUCAAGCAUUUUUGAGUGAAUACGUGUUUUCUGCUUCCGGUGUUUCGCAUAGAUGUCGGAUCCCUGAAUGCGAAGAGACUGGUGGGACAGGUUACGAAUUGUUCCCAGAGUGGAUUACAAACGCUGUGCCCAGCAGUAGCGGACAACCAGAUAGUUGUUCACGCUACGCUGCGGUUGGCAAUGGUUCACUGGAAUACUGCCCGGCUACUGUCUUCGAUCAGGGUCUCACACAGGAGUGCGAUGGAUUUGUAUACGAGAGGACCAAUUCAGUUGUCUAUGAGUUUGAUCUUGGAUGCCAAGAGUGGAUGCGAGCACUGGCUGGUACACUGAGCAGUGUUGGCUUUCUUCUUAAUCUCCCAAUCACGGGCUACAUCUCCGACAAGUAUGGGAGACGAGUAGCCCUCUGCAUCAAUGUUUUCAAUUUGGCACUGUUUGGCUUGAUCAGAGCAUUUUCUGUAAACUAUCCCAUGUAUUUGGUGCUACAGAUUUUGCAGUCAACUCUUGGAGCCGGAACAUCCAGCGCUGCUUUUAUUUUAGCGACAGAACAGUUGAUUGGUCCAAAAUAUCGAGUACUGGCGAGUUCUAUAAGCUUAGUCUCAUUCUCAGUGGGAAAUGUCCUCAUGGCUGGAAUAGGCUGGCUCGUGCAGUCAUGGCGCUCUUUCAUGAUGACAAUUUACAUUCCCUGCUUUUUAAUGGUAGUUUAUUACUGGUGCAUCACGGAAAGUGUGAGGUGGCUGCUUACUAAAGAAAAGUUCGACGAGGCCAAAAAAGUUCUGGAGAAAGCUGCAAACAUGAACAAAAGAGUGAUCAGUGAGAAAUCUAUCCAGGCGCUGAUGCAACCAACGGAAGUAAAAAAGACUCAGUUUCAGAUGGACUCCAAAGGCUUGAUUCAAACUAUUAUCAAAUCCCCAAUACUGUUGUGUCGCGUCUGCACGACACCAGUCUGGUGGAUCGCGACCACAUUCGUUUUCUACGGGUUGUCCAUCAACUCCACUGGGCUCCCGGGCAACAUGUAUGCCAACUACAUGCUAGUGAGUGCCGUGGAGAUCCCUGCCAAUUUCACGGCUGUCCUGUUUCUGGAUCGUGUUGGCAGGAAAACUGUUCUUGCGUCUGGGUUCUUUCUUAGUGCUGCUUGCAACUUUACGUUUGCUUUCAUUGACAAUAAUGAACUAGUGACGCUGGGUUUAAUACUGUUUCUCUUGGGCAAAUUUGGAAUCUCGGCAGUGUUUACUUGCCUAUACAUUUACACAUCUGAGCUGUACCCAACACAGUUCCGUCACACGCUCUUGGGAUUCUCUUCUAUGAUUGGACGUAUUGGCUCCAUCACUGCUCCGCUAACUCCUGCAUUGGCGGUAUACUGGGAUGGAGUUCCAGGGGUGAUGUUCGGUGCCAUGGGUCUAAUAGCUGGUUUGCUGGUGUUCACACAACCGGAGACUCUCGGCUGCCAGAUGCCGGACACCCUGGCUGAGGCUGAGGAUAUUGGAAGACAGAAGAAGAUCGUUACAACAGCUCUAUAGUAUAUUACUUCUAUGCAAUUAGUAUGGCAACGUGGGUACUUAACACCUUGCAGGACACUACUCUAGACACGAGAGAAAGAACAAUGGGAUGACGACUACAGGCCCCGUAGCCGAAUGGCAUUUCUCCGACGCCAAACGAAAGCGAUACGCCGCUGGCUCUGUCGCGCCAAUACGCAAGCGCGAUAGAGAUAGAUAUCUACUAGCGCUUCGUUUCGUGAGCGUUUCGUGAGCGAUUGUGCCAUUCGGCUAGCCACCCUGGUGUUAAGUGUCCACCAAAAUGUUUGAUUGGAGCACCGAUCGUAUCCACCUUACGCUUUGAGCCGUUUACUAGCCUGUUUGUAAACAUGUAUGUACGAUUUUUUAAAGGAUAAAAUUCAUUGUGGACAUGAAAUGGGAUAUAUUAUUAAGAUACACUCCAAAUUUUAGGACUUUUCUGAAAGUUUUAGGAUUCCUGUAUUUCUAAUGUGAUUCAUAAGUUUAUUUUAGCUUUUGAGUUUUGCUACCAUUCUACGCAAGGCGACGAGACGUUUUCUUUGGAAACUCGAUGCUGGAGAAUGCAUGAGGAAUAUUUCGGGGAAAGUCGCUACGGCGAGCCAAAGUAUUUUGAUGUCAAUCCCAUAAUAGGUCUGGGGAGUAAUAAAUUGUGAUACCUAUUGCAGUCAACCUACCAAUUGUACACAAUUAGUCAACCACAAUUGAACCUAUGUCGCAUACGACAUACGACACAGCGACACGAAAUUCUUAACCCGUCACCACGUGGAUCAUUCUUAACCCUUCAACACAACGGAACGGAAUGAGAAGUAAAUAAAUAUUAUAUAAAUGACAUAAUAAAUUGUACUCGGGUCUUUGGAAUGUAAGGUUUAUCUCUUAUAGCUAUAUUAUUUGGGUAUUACGUUAGGUUAUCAGAUAAAAUUGUAAUUCCAAAGAUUAAAGUAUUUUCUUGAAAACCCACUCCAGACUGGCAACAAAGUUAAUUUACUCCAAAAACUGGCUCAGGCAACUAAUCAGCAUAAUUGAUGUUGAUUAAUCAGAUCGGUAAUGGGGAUAAUCCCUCGAGGAUUCCAGGUAAGGCUGAUUAGGCAGAUAAGUAGGUAUCUCUAUCUACUGUAGUAUGUACUCGUACAUAGGUAUUUAUGAUACUAGCUUUUUCCCGCGGCUUCGCCCGCGUACUUAAACGUUGAACUUUAGACCCCCAUUUCUCCCCCAUAAGAUGUGAAUUUUGAAAAAAUACUUUCUUAGGGCUCCUAUGUUUAUGAGGAACCUACGUGAAAAAUUUGGAGUUUCUAUUACCAGCGGUUUCGGCUGUGCCAUUAGAUAUGUCAGUCAGUCUGUCAGAUUCUUCUUUGUCAUAUAUGUUUUGAACACCACCGACAGGCCUGAGUCGACCGUUAUGUCAUUCAAAACUUCAAGAAAAUCAAAAUGACACCUUUGACAACGAUAAAUCUGUGAUAAAUCUUGUUUGCGUGAUUUGAAUCAUUAUAGGAUCCAUGAGAAAUUAGGAAAUAGUAGGUAUAUUACACUCUAAGUGCGUACGUGUAUAGGCGACAUACCUCUUAGUCAAAUCAGCUUAUUUUUAAGAACUGUCAAAACGAAUUUG
rnacentral:misc_RNA from 1 species